UCCGGUGAACGGAGAGUCCGGGUGAACGUACAACCUGCCGGAGGAGGACAAGAAGAAGAACAGCGGGUCACGUCCUCAGCUCUGAUUGGCUGAGAGGCGUUCGAAGCCAGCGUUCGAUUCCCUGCGUGACGUGUAGCCUAGCAACCGUUCUAAAAGCGUUCUUAAUUUUAAUUUCAUUUUUGUUAGGCUGUUUUUUGUAUUAGAGAGCAAAGACAAGACCAAGAAUAAAUCGAAAAAAUAUUUCAUUUUUUCCCCUUAAUUUUUCAAAAUUAACUGUGACCCUGUACAGUAUGUUUGUAUUUGUAGCCUACGGCUAAUUUAGGCUACAUUAGGCCUACACAAAUAAAGCAAAUAGACAUUAAAAGAGACAUUAGAGAGACAUUAGAGACAUUAUAAUGAGGCAUUAUUGCCAAAAUAGCCUAAUAGCCUUCAGAUAGUUUGUCCACCUGCUGUUACAUCUGCUGACAUUACUCCACAUUGUCCUAAGAAAUGAAUUAGGCCAUUUCGAUUUAAUUAUGUUUAGAUCUUUGUAUAGGCUAGGUAUGCUAGGAAUUGUAGGGAAGUUUAAACCACAUGCAGGGUAUAGCCAGGAUUAAAAAAAAAACAUGAGUCUAAUUUAGACUAUAACCUCAUUCAAGACACCAAAAGGAGAGUCUAAUGUUUUCUUUAUUAAGUUUUUCCCAUCAUGAAGCCAGGAAAGACAUUCUGCCUCCACCCCGGGUUACCAAACCCCCGGAAAAAUAAAAAAAAAAUAGACUUGACCUCAGUGUCCACACACAGACGGCCCUACAUGCACUCCUCAGCUGGCCUGUUGCUUGAACUCACAUCUUCAUGUCAUCAAUCUGCAUGUUGUGAGUGUUCCCAGAUGCUUCCUGUUCAUUGGUCUCAAUUAAUGUGCCGGUUUCAGUUUUGUUUUUUUUAUCCGAGGUUGCUGAUGGUGUUUGAAUAAAAAAGAAACGCGUAGGCUGACCACAAUAAAUCCCAUUAUAACAGUUACUGAUAGACGGCUCCUGUUAUUAACACCGACCUCUGGGGCAAAACAGUCAUCUAUGAAGCGUCUGCCAGUGAUAAAAAAUCAACCAGACUGUCUUUUCUGUUGAGCUGCUGGUUAUAAGCUUCGUGGACGGUGAGUGUCUGUACCUGGCGGGCAG